CCUACGGGGGCAGCAGUGGGGAAUAUUGGACAAUGGGCGAAAGCCUGAUCCAGCCAAGCCGCGUGUGUGAAGAAGGCCUUCGGGUUGUAAAGCACUUUCAGUGGGGAAGAAAGCCUUGGGGCUAAUACCCUCGAGGAAGGACAUCACCCACAGAAGAAGCACCGGCUAACUCCGUGCCAGCAGCCGCGGUAAUACGGAGGGUGCGAGCGUUAAUCGGAAUUACUGGGCGUAAAGCGCGCGUAGGCGGUCUGAUAAGCCGGUUGUGAAAGCCCCGGGCUCAACCUGGGAACGGCAUCCGGAACUGUCAGGCUAGAGUGCAGGAGAGGAAGGUAGAAUUCCCGGUGUAGCGGUGAAAUGCGUAGAGAUCGGGAGGAAUACCAGUGGCGAAGGCGGCCUUCUGGACUGACACUGACGCUGAGGUGCGAAAGCGUGGGUAGCAAACAGGAUUAGAUACCCGAGUAGUC
rnacentral:rRNA from 1 species